rnacentral:rRNA from 1 species
CUGGCUCAGGAUGAACGCUAGCGACAGGCUUAACACAUGCAAGUCGAGGGCAGCAUAAAAGUAGCAAUACUUGGUCGGCGACCGGCGCACGGGUGAGUAACGCGUAUGCAACCUACCUAUCAGAGGGGAAUAACCCGGCGAAAGUCGGACUAAUACCGCAUAAAACAGGGGCACCGCAUGGUGAUAUUUGUUAAAGAAAUUCGCUGAUAGAUGGGCAUGCGUUCCAUUAGGUAGUUGGUGAGGUAACGGCUCACCAAGCCGACGAUGGAUAGGGGAACUGAGAGGUUGGUCCCCCACACUGGUACUGAGACACGGACCAGACUCCUACGGGAGGCAGCAGUGAGGAAUAUUGGUCAAUGGGCGGGAGCCUGAACCAGCCAAGUCGCGUGAAAGGAAGAAGGAUCUAUGGUUCGUAAACUUCUUUUGCAGGGGAAUAAAGUGCAGGACGUGUCCUGUUUUGUAUGUACCCUGAGAAUAAGGAUCGGCUAACUCCGUGCCAGCAGCGGC